CCUACGGGAGGCAGUAGUGAGGAAUAUUGGUCAAUGGGCGUAAGCCUGAACCAGCAAAGCCGCGUGAGGGAUGAAGGUUUUCUGGAUCGUACACCCCUUUUAUAAGGGAAUAAAGUGUGGGACGUGUCCUAUUUUGUAUGUACCUUAUGAAUAAGGAUCGGCUAACUACGUGCCAGCAGCCGCGGCAAUACGGAGGAUCCGAGCGUUAUCCGGAUUUAUUGGGUUUAAAGGGAGCGUAGGCGGGUCUUUAAGCGUGAGGUGAAAUUUUGUGGCUCAACCAUGAGAGUGCAGCGCAAACUGGGGACCUUGAGUGCGGGAAAGGCAGGCGGAAUUCAUGGUGUAGCGGUGAAAUGCUUAGAUAUCACGAAGAACCCCGAUUGCGAAGGCAGCCUGCCGCAGCGUUACUGACGCUGAGGCUCGAAAGCGCGGGUAGCGAACAGGAUUAGAUACCCCAGUAGUC
rnacentral:rRNA from 1 species